rnacentral:rRNA from 1 species
GAUGAACGCUGGCGGCGUGCCUGACACAUGCAAGUCGAGCGAUUUACUUCGGUAAAGAGCGGCGGACGGGUGAGUAACGCGUGGGUAACCUGCCCUGUACACACGGAUAACAUACCGAAAGGUAUGCUAAUACGAGAUAAUAUGCUUUAUCGCAUGGUAGAAGUAUCAAAGCUUUUGCGGUACAGGAUGGACCCGCGUCUGAUUAGCUAGUUGGUAAGGUAACGGCUUACCAAGGCGACGAUCAGUAGCCGACCUGAGAGGGUGAUCGGCCACAUUGGAACUGAGACACGGUCCAAACUCCUACGGGAGGCAGCCGUGGGGAAUAUUGCACAAUGGGCGAAAGCCUGAUGCAGCAACGCCGCGUGAGCGAUGAAGGCCUUCGGGUCGUAAAGCUCUGUCCUCAAGGAAGAUAAUGACGGUACUUGAGGAGGAAGCCCCGGCUAACUACGUGCCAGCCGCCGCUGUAAUAC